rnacentral:sRNA from 1 species
CUGCUCAUGCUAUAAUUUUGGUAGCAAACAAGUGAAGAUGGUGGCUAUCCUGGAAAGGUGGUGGUGCCGAUGGUUUUAAAAUCAUAACACCAAUAACCCUAGGAAAGGAGAUGCCUGGUGCCUGUUAUUGAGGUCAUUACACUGCUGAUAGCGUUUGGUAUUUUUUUACUAACGCUCAUUCGCCUUGUAAUUGAG